UGUUUAAAUUAUAUAUGAGGUUUAGGUCUAGCUCUUUGUUUGUAUUGUUAUAGAAAAUACCGACAUCUCCACCAAGUAGCCAGUUCCCACAGACAUUGAGAUGGAGGACACAACCCUGACAUCCAUGAUGGUCCCAACCAGUAGUAAGUCUUUAUAUUUCCUGAUGCUAAUUAUUUUAUUUAAUUGUCCUUUUUUUUUAUUGCAGCAGAAAAUGAAAUGGUGUGUAAUAUCAAACACCUGUCAGCUAGUAGAGUGUGCUGGGAUUGUCUGCCAAGUCAUAGGCAAUCAGCAAUGCUUGAAUGGGCUUUGGGGACAGACAACCCAGAUGAGACAAUUGCUGAAGUUGGCAACAUGGUCCUGAAAAGGAAAGAUUUCUGGUCUCUAAGUCUCAAUGAGCAGUUGGAGGCAACAAGUCAGGAAACGGGCAGGAAACAUCACUGCAGAUCCAUCUCACCCCGGACACAACCUGUUCCAGCUUCUCCCCUCUGGAUUACAUUGCAAUGAAAGAUUGCAUUGUUUUCCCUGUACAGUGGAAGCCAUGAUACUGGAUGUUUAAGAAAACAGCUAAAAGUACUCCAGGCACAUGGACGCUACUAAAAAACAAGUGCGACUUUCCAAACAUACAGAUAUGGUCUACUCUUAUUCUUCUAUACUUUGGGGUUUUCUCUGAAAGUAGAGAACCUUCAAGAGGCCCUUCCAAGUGGAGAACAAGCUACGCUUAGCAGCAGUGAGAUGGAGCUCCCUGUAAUCCUACACAUGACAGAAGCUGUGAAAUGGCUCCAUUCCUGCUCAGGAGCCCAGUGGAAGAGCCUCUUUUCCUUACAAUGAGGAGGGCAAGGAAAAGGCCCUUAAAAGUUAUUUUUGCAAGUUUGACAUGACAAAAUGUGUCUAAGUGUGAAUUGUUCAUUUGAGGAAUUAUAAUUAAAUUUUUUGUUGUAUAAAGUUUUAUUGUUUUGUUUAAAAUAACACGUCACCUGGAACUCUGCGUAGGGCAUCAAAUUGGCAAGCUGCAGCCCUGAAGCCACUUCACCUGGUUCACAAUUAUCCCUAACACCUGUCUCUCAUUAUAGUGAUGCGGAGGGGACCAAAAAGGCAUGCCAGAGCAUCAGAAUGAGAGAGAGUGAACGGAAAGCACGACAGACCGGCACAUGACCACGCCUGCACACACACCUGUCAUGUUCCUGGUCAGAAAUGACCAGCCAUUAGGAUGAAGUUACAAAAAAAGAAAAUAAUUGUGUGCAGGAUCCUGUCCCAACUAUUAGAAGACCAUUAGAUUAACUUCUGAACCUUCCUUGACUCCAUAGCAACAAAAGAAUAUUGGGAUAAAUAUAUGACAAUGUGUUUUGGGAACCUUCAUAUUCACACAUUCACACACACAGUUGGCAAACUAAAAUUGGGUAGGAGUUUUCUUGUUCCCAUCAUGCUUUGCAUGGGUCUCGAUAGGGAAAGUAAAUGUUAAAAUGAAGUGUUAUCUUAUGUGUUUUUGCAACAUGAAUGCAAAGGGGAAACUUGUUACUGUUUGAUGUUUUGUAUGUUGCCAUUUAGAAGAGUAUCUGUGAUGUUGGAGUUUUGGGGGUUACCAUUAUGGUGAAGAGUGGAGCUUGAGCUUAGGUUGAGGAAUGGUGUUGACUGUUCAAAUGAUAUACACUGCUUUAUCCAAUAUAAUAUAAUAUAAUAUUUUCUUCAGAGUUAG